rnacentral:rRNA from 1 species
CCUACGGGUGGCAGCAGUGAGGAAUAUUGGUCAAUGGGCGGGAGCCUGAACCAGCCAAGUCGCGUGAGGGAAGACGGUCCUAUGGAUUGUAAACCUCUUUAGGCGGGGAGCAAUGCCGGGCACGCGUGCCCGGAGGGAGAGUACCCGCAGAAUAAGCAUCGGCUAACUCCGUGCCAGCAGCCGCGGUAAUACGUAUGGGGCAAGCGUUAUCCGGAUUUACUGGGUGUAAAGGGAGCGUAGGCGGCCUGGCAAGCCUGAUGUGAAAUACCGGGGCCCAACCCCGGGGCUGCAUUGGGAACUGGCAGGCUGGAGGGCCGGAGAGGCAGGCGGAAUGCCUAGUGUAGCGGUGAAAUGCGUAGAUAUUAGGAGGAACACCAGUGGCGAAGGCGGCCUGCUGGACGGUGACUGACGCUGAGGCACGAAAGCGUGGGGAGCAAACAGGAUUAGAUACCCCUGUAGUC